rnacentral:rRNA from 1 species
CCUACGGGAUGCAGCAGUGGGGAAUAUUGCACAAUGGGGGAAACCCUGAUGCAGCGACGCCGCGUGAGUGAAGAAGUCUUUCGGUAUGUAAAGCUCUAUCAGCAGGGAAGAAAAAAGACGGUACCUGACUCCGACGCCCCGGCUCACUACGUGCCAGCAGCCGCGGUCAUACGUAGGGGGCAACCGUUACCCGGAUUUACUGGGUGUAAGGGGAGGGUAGACGGCAUUGCAAGUAGGAAGUGAAAACCCAGGGCUCAACCCGGGAACUGCUUUGGAAACUGUUGGGCUGGAGUGCUGGAGAGGUAAGCGGAAGUCCUAGUGUAGCGGUGAAAUGCGUAGAUAUUAGGAGGAACACCAGUGGCGAAGGCGGCUUACUGGACAGUAACUGACGUUGAGGCUCGAAAGCGUGGGGAGCAAACAGGAUUAGAUACCCGUGUAGUC